GAUGAAGAACGCAGCGAAAUGAGAUAAGUAAUGUGAAUUGCAGAAUUCAGUGAAUCAUCGAAUCUUUGAACGCACAUUGCGCCCGUCAGUAUUCUGGCGGGCAUGCCUGUUCGAGCGUCAUUACGCCCCUCAAGUCCCCUGUGGACUUGGUGUUGGGGAUCGGCGAGGCUGGUUUUCCAGCACAGCCGUCCCUUAAAUUAAUUGGCGGUCUCGCCGUGGCCCUCCUCUGCGCAGUAGUAAAACACUCGCAACAGGAGCCCGGCGCGGUCCACUGCCGUAAAACCCCCCAACUUUUUAUAGUUGACCUCGAAUCAGGUAGGACUACCCGCUGAACUUAAGCAUAUCAAUAAGCGGAGGA
rnacentral:misc_RNA from 1 species